rnacentral:lncRNA from 1 species
GUUUGGUCGGCUUUAAAGAUUACCAAGCACACCAACAGGCAGAGAGAAGGAGGAAAGGGACUCUGGGUGAGGGCAACAGCCUAGAAAAAGACUCGCUGGCAGCAAAACCAUGUGUGGAUCGUUGUGUUCUCCUCCCGAGGCUGCUGGAACACAUUACCACACACUUGGUCCUGGUGGCUGCUGGCAUUCCUCGGCUUGUGGCCACGUCACUCCAUCUCUGGAUGCGUCUGUCUUCACAUGGCCUUCUCCUCUGCCUCUGUCUUAUAGGGAUACCUGUGAUUGCAUUUAGGGGGAUAUCGGGAUAAUCCAGGAUAAUCUCCCCAUCUCAACAUCCUUAACUCAAUCACAUGUUUUGCCGUGGAAGGUCUCUAAGAAAUUCAGAUUCAACCAGCCCAGCAUGGAGUCCGAGAAUCUGAAUUUCCUGAAUCCCCCGCCCCCAUACAUCCAUACCGUGCAACUAUAAAAGGAAUGUGACAGUCUCUAGGCACCGAGGUGGGUGAUGACAGGAAACCGACAUGUGCAUCUUUGUGUGAUCACUGCUCCAAGAUGAAGUUCAUGCUGAAACAUGGAAGGACUCACCCGAGGCCUCUGUAAGUUCCUGGACAGGACAGCGAAGACAGCUAACCAAGGGAAGCCCCUCCUGAACCUCACAUCACAGCAGCUGGUUCUGGAGCCAGGGGAGGCCCAGCCACCAAACCACGAGAGGGAAUCCUGGACUCAGGGAUGGCCCAGCGUGGCCCUUUCCAUGUUCUAGAGGGCUCUUUCCUUUCCAGUGUCAUGGGUACUUCUCCCAAGUGAUCUUUGAGUGUUCGCUUCCUCUUGGAGACACACAAAGGCAUGUCACCAGGUCAUCCUUCCUGCCCAGUGUCUUGUGUGAGCCAUCUUCUCACAUCCACCCCAUCUGCCACCCCAUCGUGUCCCCAUCCCAGCUCCCAGCCACAAAGUCGCAGAGCUGAUCAGCUGGGACUUGGACCCGGAAAAUUACAUGUUUAAAAAAAAGAGGACUCAGAAUGACACCCUAAGGGUUCAGUCUUUCCUCUCCAUUGUCAGAGCAGAUGGGGGAAAGGCUGCCCUCACGAAAGCCAGAUUAGUGGGAC